rnacentral:rRNA from 1 species
UACGUACGAGGCGAGCGUUAUCCGGAAUUACUGGGCGUAAAGCGCGCGCAGGCGGAUGUUUAAGUAGGGCGUGAAAUCUCCCGGCCUAACUGGGAGGGGUCGCUCUAGACUGGGCGUCUUGAGGACAGCAGAGGUGGGUGGAAUUCCUGGUGUAGUGGUGAAAUGCGUAGAGAUCAGGAGGAACACCGGUGGCGAAGGCGGCCCACAGGGCUGUCACUGACGCUGAGGCGCGAAAGCUCGGGGAGCGAACGGG